rnacentral:sRNA from 1 species
GCUGGGCACAGUGGUGCAUACCUGUAGUCCCAGCUAUUUGGAAGGCUGAGGCAGGAGGAUUGGUUGCUUGAGUCCAGGAGUUUGAGGCAGCCUGGGCAACAUUGUGAGACUCUGUCUCAA